CGAACUAUUUAUAGUUAGUGGCAGACGGGUGAGAAACGCGUGGGAACGUACCCCAAAGUUCGGAAUAACUAUUGGAAACGAUAGCUAAUACCGGAUGUGACCGAGAGGUUAAAGGUUUACCGCUUUGGGAGCGGCCCGCGUUAGAUUAGCUAGUUGGUAGGGUAAAGGCCUACCAAGGCAAUGAUCUAUAGCUGGCCUGAGAGGGUGACCGGCCACACUGGAACUGAGAUACGGUCCAGACUCC
rnacentral:rRNA from 1 species